GAUUUCUGUGCAUCCACUCUCUGGCCCGCCACGGUUACGUGUGUGAGUGCCGGUAUGAGUUGGUGCCAUCCUUCGACACUAUCCCACUGACACUCUUCACUGAGUGUUGUGUGUGUGAUGGUUCGAUCCUUUACUUUGAAAAAAUUAGAGUGUUUCAAGCAGGCUUUAUGCUAUGAAUACAUUAGCAUGGAAUAAUAAUUUAGGACUUCGGUUCUAUUUUGUUGGUUUCUAGGACUGAAGUAAUGAUUGAUAGGGAUAGUUGGGGGUGCUAGUAUUCAGCGGCCAGAGGUGAAAUUCUCGGAUUCGCUGAAGACUAACUUAUGCGAAAGCAUU
rnacentral:rRNA from 1 species